UAGGCACCGGCACAGACAGCCCUGAGUGCCUCCUGCGCAGUCGCAGACACCCCGAGGCUGGUGGGUUGCUUCCUCCAGACCACGCCCACCAACGCCUGCGGCAGCUGGUGCAGCAGAACUCACAUCUUCCCUGUGGGGUCUACACCAGCAAGGGCAGCUGCUCCCUGCUUUUCCUCUAGCGUCAGUUGAGGGUCUCACUGUGUUGCCCAGGCUGGAGUGAGUGGCAUGAUCGUGGUUCAAGGCAGCCUUGACUUCGUGGGCUCAAGUGAUUGUCCCAUCUCAGCCUUCCAGGUAGCUCGGACUACAGGUGUGUGGCUCCGCACCCAGCUACUUUUUAAAAAAUCUGUACAGAUGAGGUCUCACUGUGUGGCCCAGGCUGAUCUUGAGCUCCUGGGCUUAAGCGCUUCUCCUAUCUUGGCUUCCCAAAGUGCUGAAAAUUGUAGGUACGAGCCACCAUCCCCAGCUCCCAGCUUAACUUUGAAUAAACAGGUCUGUUUAGAACAUUAGAACGUUGGUGUUGUACUGCUGUCUCCAUUGUUAUGUGAGUCUUAAGUCAGUAUUCCCAUCAUCACUUAUGGCAUCAUUUUUUAGUACAUUCUCAGUAUUAUUUGGUGUGUCCCUUUUCUUGUCUUGCUUUCUAGAGCCUUAGGGACUUUGUUUUUCUCUGUACACAGCUUAUGCAGAUGGGAACCUUCACAAACAUCCCUGGGUGGCUCCUGCACAAGCUCAGGUGACACAGUGAUGUGGCCUUCCUUCUCCAGAAAAGGGAUCCCAAGGACUGGGGAGCACUUGGACACAAUCGUGAAUUCUUUGGGACCGUACACUCUGUUGACACUUAACUUAUGGGCUCAUAUUGAAGAUUGCCAAGUCCCGGAGCCACAGAAUACAUAUCACUGCCGUACAGCCUGGGGAGCUUUGUGCUCCAGCAGCAGCAGGGAGCAGAUCCGGAGCCUGCACAGACAUCCUGCGUGCCUCUUGCACAGGGACAAGCCUGGGGAGCUUUGUGCUCCAGCAGCAGCAGGGAGCAGAUCCGGAGCCUGCACAGACAUCCUGCGUGCCUCUUGCACAGGGACAAGCCUGGGGAGCUUUGUGCUCCAGCAGCAGCAGGGAGCAGAUCCGGAGCCUGCACAGACAUCCUGCGUGCCUCUUGCACAGGGACAAGCCUGGGGAGCUUUGUGCUCCAGCAGCAGCAGGGAGCAGAUCCGGAGCCUGCACAGACAUCCUGCGUGCCUCUUGCACAGGGACAAGCCUGGGGAGCUUUGUGCUCCAGCAGCAGCAGGGACAGACUGCGCAGCGACUGUGGUCACUUCCUCCAGACUGUCCCAUCAAGCACAGGAACACAGCAGGCACUGCUGAGUUCAGAGCCUCCUUUUUGGGUCUGCCUGGCUAGCAGCUACCAAUCCUCCCUCUGGGGCCCAUUGGAGAAUCCAGUUCUUUUGUACAAAGAUCGAGUUAGUUCAGCAGUCAUUCUGCUUGCUGACCAAUGAGACAAUGACUACAAACCCUGCUUGUUAUGAUUUCUUCUUGUUUUUUGUUUUGGCAUGUGAAUGCUUUUAACAUUUGUGUAUAGAUUUAUUUUUUGGCAUCAUCUACAAGCAAAGAUAAGUUUUUGUAUUGUGUGUUUCAUCCUACCUUUAACAAUGCAUUUAUAAUCAUCUUUCAACGUAUCUUUUCUAUUAUUUUCACCUUUUCAUCCAUUACUCUUUAGUAAAUCGGAAUCUCACUUUUAUUUGGAAAGACAGAUGUUACACAUUCUCUAUUUUAUCAUUUUCCAGAAAAGUUCUCUAAAAUACCUCUAGUUGAAAAAGAAGAGAACAGAGAUUUUUCUGGGAACCACAAGACAAAAUAUGCUAAAAAUAUCAUGAUGAAAAAGAGAUAUGAUUGUUACUACUAUAUAAUUUCGUUUGUUCUGGUUUGGAAAUGUUAAAAUUACUAAUUUUUAUAGACAGAACAUUGAGAGACCAUUUUUCUGGAUAGGCAUUUUGUUAAUAUGUAUGUUUGUUUUUCUCUUACCCCAAAGUCAGAAACAUUGGCUGGACUUUCUGAUUCAUUCCAAGUAGUUCUAAAAGUGUUCAUGACAUAUCUCUGUACAGGUGGCUUACAAUAUAGGUACAUAUUAUUUUUCUACUCUUUGAUAAGUGAAUAUUAAAAGCAUCUUUAGUUUUCAAUUUUGAAACACCGCUCAGAAGAUGUGUACAUGUAUGUUAGGCAGCACAUAAUUUUAUAGAGGAUAAAAUAUAUUAGAAUACAUAGUAGAAAUGGUAUGGUAGAAAGGGAAUUGAAACAUGUUUGUUUUAUUUUAUCAGCUAUAAAUAGUUUUUAAAAACUUUUUGUGCAUAUGACUUUUAGAUAAUCA
rnacentral:lncRNA from 13 species